rnacentral:rRNA from 1 species
GACGAACGCUGGCGGCGUGCUUAACACAUGCAAGUCGAACGGAAAGGCCCCUUUGGGGGUACUCGAGUGGCGAACAGGGGAGUAACACGUGAGUAACCUGCCCUUGACUUCGGGAUAACUUCAGGAAACUGGGGCUAAUACCGGAUAGGAAUCCUUGCUGCAUGGUGGGGGUUGGAAAGCUUCGGCGGUUUUGGAUGGACUCGCGGCCUAUUAGCUUGUUGGUGGGGUAGUGGGUUACCAAGGCUUUGACGGGUAGCCGGCCUGAGAGGGCGACCGGCCACAUUGGGACUGAGAUACGGCCCAGACUCCUACGGGAGGCAGCAGUGGGGAAUAUUGCACAAUGGGCGGAAGCCUGAUGCAGCAACGCCGCGUGCGGGAUGACGGCCUUCGGGUUGUAGACCGCUUUCAGCAGGGGCGAAGCUUGUGGUGACGGUACCUGCAGAAGAAGCACCGGCUAACUACGUG